GAUGAACGCUAGCGAUAGGCCUAACACAUGCAAGUCGAGGGGCAGCAUAGAGUAGCAAUACUUUGAUGGCGACCGGCGCACGGGUGAGUAACACGUAUGCAACCUACCUACAUCAGGGGAAUAACCCGGAGAAAUUCGGACUAAUACCGCAUAAUACAGGGAUGCCGCAUGGCAAUAUUUGUUAAAGAUUUAUCGGAUGUAGAUGGGCAUGCGUUCCAUUAGCUUGUUGGUGAGGUAACGGCUCACCAAGGCAACGAUGGAUAGGGGAACUGGGAGGUUUGUCCCCCAAACUGGAACUGAGACACGGACCAGACUCCUACGGGAGGCAGCAGGGAGGAAUAUUGGUCAAUGGACGAGAGUCUGAACCAGCCAAAUCGCGUGAAGGAAGACUGCCCUACGGGAUGUAAACUUCUUUUGUACAGGAAGAAAAGACAGUACGUGUAAUGUAUGGCAUGUACUGUACGAAUAAGCAUCGGCUAACUCCGUGCCAGCCGCCGCAGUAA
rnacentral:rRNA from 1 species